UUUUGCUGAAGACGUUAAAAAUAUUUUUUUUUGUAAUUAACACUAUUUUUUAUUUAUUUCUUUUUACCUUUCAAUUUUAAAAAGAUAAUAUAAUUUGACAAUAUUUUGUUUCCUUUUUUAAAAGAUAUCGAAUAUGAAAUAACACAAUCAUAUUGGUUGGUGAACCUAUAGUUUCACCCUAGGGGGUGAACCCAAGAAUAAGUCUUAAAGAAACUCCCGCACUGGAGCUUUUGAACGAAUUAGUGAAAAACAUGCGAAGUUUUUUAUGAGUAGUUUUAGCGGGAAAACAACUUAUUCAUUUCUGAACUAGGAUCGC
rnacentral:lncRNA from 1 species